rfam:Alligator sinensis unplaced genomic scaffold scaffold280_1, whole genome shotgun sequence
GGUACUAUGGCUUAGUUGGUUAAAGUUCCUGUCUAGUAAACAGGAAGUCCUUGGUUCAAAUCCCAGUGGUACCU